rnacentral:rRNA from 1 species
UCAGAAUCAACGCUGGCGGCGCGCUUAACACAUGCAAGUCGAACGAGAAAGCCGGCUUCGGCUGGUGAGUAAAGUGGCGGACGGGUGAGUAACACGUGGAUAACCUGCCCUUUAGUGGGGAAUAACUCUGGGAAACCGGAGCUAAUACCGCAUAAGAUCCUUGGACCUUAAGAUUCGAGGAUGAAAGCCUUUGGGCGCUGAAGGAGGGGUCCGCGGCCGAUUAGCUAGUUGGUAGGGUAAUGGCCUACCAAGGCAUCGAUCGGUAGCCGGCCUGAGAGGGCACACGGCCACACUGGCACUGAGACACGGGCCAGACUCCUACGGGAGGCAGCAGUGGGGAAUCUUGGACAAUGGGGGAAACCCUGAUCCAGCGACGCCGCGUGACUGAUGAAGCCUUUCGGGGUGUAAAGGUCUUUCAGUGGGGACAAUUAUGAUGGUACCCACAGAAGCAGCUGCGGCUAACUACGUGCCAGCAGCCGCGGUAAUACGUAGGCAGCAAGCGUUGUUCGGAAUUACUGGGCGUAAAGCGAGUGUAGGCGGUUUGCCGUGUCUGCUGUGAAAUCUCCCGGCUCAACUGGGAGGGUGCGGCGGAAACUGGCAGGCUAGAGUGCGGAAGAGGAAAGUGGAAUUCCUGGUGUAGCGGUGAAAUGCGUAGAUAUCAGGAGGAACACCUGUGGUGAAGACGGCUUUCUGGACCGCCACUGACGCUGAGACUCGAAAGCGUGGGGAGCAAACAGGAUUAGAUACCCUGGUAGUCCACGCCCUAAACGAUGCAUACUUGGUGUGGGUUCUUCACUGGA